GAUAAACGCUGGCGGCGUGCCUAAUACAUGCAAGUCGAGCGAACGGACGAGAAGCUUGCUUCUCUGAUGUUAGCGGCGGACGGGUGAGUAACACGUGGAUAACCUACCUAUAAGACUGGGAUAACUUCGGGAAACCGGAGCUAAUACCGGAUAAUAUUUUGAACCGCAUGGUUCAAAAGUGAAAGACGGUCUUGCUGUCACUUAUAGAUGGAUCCGCGCUGCAUUAGCUAGUUGGUAAGGUAACGGCUUACCAAGGCAACGAUGCAUAGCCGACCUGAGAGGGUGAUCGGCCACACUGGAACUGAGACACGGUCCAGACUCCUACGGGAGGCAGCAGUAGGGAAUCUUCCGCAAUGGGCGAAAGCCUGACGGAGCAACGCCGCGUGAGUGAUGAAGGUCUUCGGAUCGUAAAACUCUGUUAUUAGGGAAGAACAUAUGUGUAAGUAACUGUGCACAUCUUGACGGUACCUAAUCAGAAAGCCACGGCUAACUACGUGCCAGCAGCCGCGGUAAUACGUAGGUGGCAAGCGUUAUCCGGAAUUAUUGGGCGUAAAGCGCGCGUAGGCGGUUUUUUAAGUCUGAUGUGAAAGCCCACGGCUCAACCGUGGAGGGUCAUUGGAAACUGGAAAACUUGAGUGCAGAAGAGGAAAGUGGAAUUCCAUGUGUAGCGGUGAAAUGCGCAGAGAUAUGGAGGAACACCAGUGGCGAAGGCGACUUUCUGGUCUGUAACUGACGCUGAUGUGCGGAAGCGUGGGGAUCAAACAGGAUUAGAUACCCUGGUAGUCCACGCCGUAAACGAUGAGUGCUAAGUGUUAGGGGGUUUCCGCCCCUUAGUGCUGCAGCUAACGCAUUAAGCACUCCGCCUGGGGAGUACGACCGCAAGGUUGAAACUCAAAGGAAUUGACGGGGACCCGCACAAGCGGUGGAGCAUGUGGUUUAAUUCGAAGCAACGCGAAGAACCUUACCAAAUCUUGACAUCCUUUGACAACUCUAGAGAUAGAGCCUUCCCCUUCGGGGGACAAAGUGACAGGUGGUGCAUGGUUGUCGUCAGCUCGUGUCGUGAGAUGUUGGGUUAAGUCCCGCAACGAGCGCAACCCUUAAGCUUAGUUGCCAUCAUUAAGUUGGGCACUCUAAGUUGACUGCCGGUGACAAACCGGAGGAAGGUGGGGAUGACGUCAAAUCAUCAUGCCCCUUAUGAUUUGGGCUACACACGUGCUACAAUGGACAAUACAAAGGGCAGCGAAACCGCGAGGUCAAGCAAAUCCCAUAAAGUUGUUCUCAGUUCGGAUUGUAGUCUGCAACUCGACUACAUGAAGCUGGAAUCGCUAGUAAUCGUAGAUCAGCAUGCUACGGUGAAUACGUUCCCGGGUCU
rnacentral:rRNA from 1 species